CCAUCCCCAAGUCGAGAGGCCUCGGAGACUGUGCAGCAACAGGAACAGGCCUGCCUCAGCUCAGUUUCGACUCACUCUAGUACAACAGUAUUCAUUCGCCUAGUCUCAUGAUAACAACUAAAGAACUGUUGUGUAUCACAGAGUAAUUGUUUGAUACAUUUCGUGUCAUGAAAGUUUACGAAACCACAUCACUGGAAACAUAAUUGCAUUCGUGUCAUCGAGAAAUAAGGAUAUUAUACGUUAACAAUGUGGCUUUGGAUCGUUGGAAUUAUUUCGGUUAUUGUGGCUGUUCGGGUCAUCUACCAAAGACAGUCUGGGGUUUGUCCUUCGAAAAGAUUAUUGGAUGGAAACAAAAACUGCAAUAGUCACUGGUUCUUCAGCAGGUAUCGGGAAGGAGACAGCGAGAGACUUGGCCCGCAGAGGCGCGCGUGUCAUCCUCGCUUGCAGAAAUGCAGCGAAAGCGCAGAG